rnacentral:rRNA from 1 species
AUGGCCGAUGUAAGUGCUGACUGUUUGGAUGAGUACGUAAACAUUGUCAGCAGGAUGUUUCAUAGCGAGGAUGAAGGUUUUGAGUUCUACAACAAGUAUGCUCUUGAGAAAGGCUGUAGUGUGAGAAAAGGCUAUGUUGAGUGGGAUGAAGCGAACGAGAAGAUAAUUCUGAGGAAACUUGUCUGUAGUCGUGAAGGUUGCCGUGAAGAGAAGCACAUGAAGAGGAAGAGAGAAGAUAGGAAGAGGAAGCCACGGAAUAUCACUCGUGUGGGAAAUUUGUCAUUGCAAGAGUCGCCAAAACAGGGCGGUGGUUUGUGA